rnacentral:lncRNA from 1 species
GAUCGGGGUUGCUCUUGGUUGGAUGAAGAUAAGAUCCAAAGAGAGCAGAUUAGUGAAGAAUAAGGGAUUUGUGUGAUCUGAAGACUCUUUGGAGAGUUCCAAGGCCAACUUCUUGGGCAAACGGUGCAGGAUCUGACUAGUGUUAGGGUUAUUUGGUCCUUAUCCUGGCCCUAAAGGACCUGGCCAGGAGGAUUUUCAGCUAUGUCAGCCUUGUUCUUCUGUGAGAUACUCAGGCCAUAAUUCUGUUUCUCCAGCUUUUCCCAAGAAGAGGGACCAUCCUGCCAGCAUCAGCUCACCCAUCCUGCAUAGAGAAUGUACCCUGGCAAUGACUCAGUGAUCUGCAGGAUUUGCUGCGUCUUAAGAGUGAAGGGAGUACAUGAGAAGAGGCAGACACGUCUGUCGAUGAGAACAUUGGCCAGGGCUUUGAAGAGUUUAUCAGGGCUGUUCGACUCUAUAUUACCACGUCAAACAGAACCAUAACUAAUGAUGUAGGGAUUCUUGUGAGGGAGGUCUUAAGGCCAGACGUUCUUCCUCAUUCCAGACUCCUUUUAUGAUGCUUCUGGGCUUCACCGUGGCUUUUCUGUUUUACCUUAGUUACCUGUAUUUUGAUUUUUUUUUUCUAUUUGUUUUAGGACUUAGACACACAGGACAUUCUAUGAUCUUGGAUCUUCUUAAUUUUGUACUUAGAAGGUAGAGUACUUGGAAUAUCAAGAUCUAGGCUUGUUGUUUUCUGAUGUCACUGUAAGCACCAGAAUUGAAUAACAGAAUCUUCCUUCUCUCUUUUAAAAGUCCUUUACUCUAAUUCACUCCGUGUCUCUUUCCUUUCUCUUCCCUCUUUGUUUAAUAUAAGAGGAAAGGAAUGGAAAGAGAAAACUAAGAUUAGACUACCUGACCAGUGAUUUUACUUUGGGCAAUGGAAAUAUAAACCAUACACACACUUCUGUUUUUCCCAGGAUCUGAAGCAUGGCUGUUUGGGCAGCUGGCUAUUCUGAGGUACAUUUCAGAAAUAACUUAUGUUUAUUUAUCAUUGGAUAUUUAUAACAGUGUUUCAGAGUCGGUUUCCAGUAACCCCAUAAAGGAUCCCAGGUUCUCGCAAUAGUGGAGGAGGCUGGAGAGGGGACCUGAGCAGGGAGGGAUACUGGCAUUGCUAGAAGCUAUAGCCCCGCCCUCCCCUUAGUGUUUCUCAGCUGAGGUGGCAGGGCUGAGGGGUGCACACUGAAAAACAAUCUGGGAGUCUUCCUGGAAAGGAUGUCAGAGUUUAAAUCCGAUUACUUUUCCAAUUUGAUGGAGCGUGGGGGCAAGUGCUUGUGUGAAUAUGCUUGCAUAUGCGCACUUACACACACACACACACACACACACACACACACACACACACACACACACACACUCACAUGCACUUACUCACACACAGGCACUCUGAGCUCAGGCGUAGAUAGUGUUGACAUUUCUGGAGGCACAAAAGGAUCACAAAUUCCUGAGCAGUCACCCAUAGACCUGAGCUGCCCAGGAAUGCCGACGUUCCAGGCACUGACAUCAUUCCUCCUCUGGCUCUGAGAGGAACUCUCUGACCCCCAGGUCUUCUGGCAGCUAUUUUUAGACUGCAAACCCUCCCCCCUGGCAUUCCCUUGGUGUACUCGGGGAAGCAGGUUUCAGGACGGGCCUCCCACUUUAUUGAACAUGCAGUUUGUAUCAAGAAUGAGGUGUGGGAGGAGAUGAAGGGAAUUUGCAGCACAUCUGGUCUAUCAUCUUUAUUGGGCAGAGGAUGCCAGAGAAGUUGAAUGGUUUAUUCAAAGCCAAACAGCCAAUUACAAACUUGUAGCCUUCCCUCCAGAUUUUUGUCUCUUUUACUUAGAGGUUCUCAAAGAAGUUGCCCUCAGAAACCCUUUGCAUUCUAGAAAAUUAUUUCUGUGUAAGUGUGUAUGCUUGAAGUAUGUGUGUGUGUCUGUUUGUGUGUCUGUGUGUGUUCCACUAUAUGUGUGUUUGUGUAUAUAUGUGUGUGUUCCUCUGUGUGUGUAUGUGUGUGUUCCUUUGUGUUUGUGUAUAUGUUCCUCUAUGUGUGCAUUCUUCUGUGUAUGUGUGUGUUCUUCUCUGUGUGUGUCUGUGUUGCUCUGUGUGUGUGCACGCACAUGUGUGUGUAGAGGCUAGAUAGGUGUUGUGUAUCUUCUGCUAUUGUUAUCCACCUGAUUAUUUUUUAAUUUUAAUUUUUUGAGAAUAUUGUACAUGGGCUCUGUACUUGCGUUACUCCCACCUCCUGCUCAGACUGCUCCAGAGUUCCCCUCCAAAGUGCAGGUCUUGUCUUUCAUUAUUAUUGUUACAUGUAUAUAUGUACAUAUAUAUACCAUUUACUGAGUCCAUUUAGCAUUGCUGUGUGCAUUUGUGUCCAGGGCUGACCACUUGGGAUUGAGGAUUAGACAUCCUAUGUGGUAUUUCUUCCCAGGGGGAUAUUAAUUCUCUCUCUCUCUCUGUCAGCAGCAUUAAGCAGUUAUAGCUCUUCAUCUAGGGGUGGAACCAUGUGAAAUUUCCCCUGUCCAUGUUGACAUGUCAAUAGUGUCAUUAUCCUCUUCUUUCCACUUUAAUAUUAUAAAAUGGGGUCUCUAACAGAUCUCAAUGCUCACAGAUUUGGUAAGACUAGAUGGCCAAGAGCUUGAGUGAGCCUUCGGUGUACACACACACACACACACACACACACACACACACAUAUACAUACAUAUAUGUAUAUAUGUAUAAAUACUUAAACAUACAUGUAUAUAUGCUAUGUUCCUUUAGCAGAACAGGAGUAUUUGGUUUCCUCUGGGUCCAUAUCCUAUCUAGUCCCAGAUUCUUGACUGCCUGAGCAGUGUCAUGCGUGGGUUACAUCUCAUGGAGUAGGCCUUAAAUCUAAUCAGAUAGUGGUUGGUUACCCACAUAUUGUUUGUCGUGAUUGCUCUAGCAAAUCAUACAGGCAGGUCACCAUUGCCAACUGCAGGAUUUGUGCCUGGGUUGAUGGUUGCAUUGGAUGGUUGGUGGUUGUGCGAAUAGUUCCUUUCAGGACCACAAACAUAAGCAAUGAAAAGAGUCAAAUUAUUUGAAAUGUAUUUAAAAUAUUAUUAUUAACAAUAUUAUAUAAAAUUAAAAUUAUUUUCACAAAUCUUUUCAACAACUGGAUUACUGGAGGGGAACAGGGAUCUCAUAUCUCUCCUUUCAUUCAGUUAUAAAACAUCAUGCCUCACAGUUGCUGGAAGCUGCAGUGUGAGAAGAGGAUGAGUACUGAACGCAUUUUAAUUAUAGGGUUAUUACAAACCGAUUGGUGUGUCUCAUGAUUCUCUGCUUGCUCCUUAAAUAUCUGCACAUACCUCAUCUACAGUCUUUUUCACUCUGGAUCAGACUUCCAUUCAAUAAGCAUUCAUUGGAAAACUACCAGUAGGUGUUAAGCUGGGAAUUUAAAGACAAAGAGCGUACAUAAACUUUCAUCCCAAAACUCAGUUGCAAAAGAAAUAGAACUUGGUUUUCUAAUGUAAUCAAACAUCUGAUUUCAACCCACAUUCUGCCAGACUGCUAGGAAACUUGAUCCUGAUGUUCUUUCACAGACUUCCUCUACCCACUCAAAGAAUGUGGCAGAAUCUUAGGGACUCAAAGCCGACAAAACUUCUGAGAGACUCUUACAGACUCAUGUGGCUCUGUAUGCUUAGUAAGCUACAAAGUAGAGAUGAGAUGGCUGCCCGUGGUUGUGUCUGAUGGCCCUUCGACUCUGAGCAUCUAUGGCUGGCUCAAGGUGGGGCUUUUGUCCUGUGUCCUUCAACCUCAUUCAGGAUCCCGAUCUUUCUCCCUGAGUGCUAAGAAUGUGGGCCCAGGUAUUCCAAUUGAGAAGCUAUACUCUUCUUUUUCUGUUUUCGUGUGCAUGUGUGUGUGUGUGUGUGUGUGUGUGUGAGCUUGUAUGUAUAAGGUGUGUGCACGCAUGCGCAUGGCUUUGUGGAGGCUUGAGGCUGCUGUUGGGAAUAAAUCCUCCAUUGUUCUUUCACUUCCUUCAUUGAAACACUUUUUUUCACUCAGACCCAGAGCUUCCUUAAGUAGCUUAGUCUCCCUAGCCAGCUUGCUUUGGAGAUUCCCUGACCCCAUUUGGUCUUCAUGGUUGAAUGCAUUAACCAUUGGGCUUAACCAUUGGGCUACUACCCCAGUACUCAUCCUUAUCUCUUUCUACUCGUUUUUACUUUUUAAGAUUUAUUUUUAUUUUUACUUCAAAAACCUUUUCAUUGACUCUUCAUGAGUUUCAUAUCAUGCAUUCCAGUUCCACUCAUCUCCCUGUCCCUUCUUAUUCUCACUCUGUCCUUGCAACACCCCC